GACGAACGCUGGCGGCGUGCUUAACACAUGCAAGUCGAACGGUAAGGCCCUUCGGGGUACACGAGUGGCGAACGGGUGAGUAACACGUGGGUGAUCUGCCCUGCACUUCGGGAUAAGCCUGGGAAACUGGGUCUAAUACCGGAUAGGACCACUGCCUGCAUGGGUGGUGGUGGAAAGCUUUUGCGGUGUGGGAUGGGCCCGCGGCCUAUCAGCUUGUUGGUGGGGUGAUGGCCUACCAAGGCGACGACGGGUAGCCGGCCUGAGAGGGUGACCGGCCACACUGGGACUGAGCUACGGCCCAGACUCCGACGGGAGGCAGCAGUGGGGAAUAUUGCACAAUGGGCGCAAGCCUGAUGCAGCGACGCCGCGUGGGGGAUGACGGCCUUCGGGUUGUAAACCUCUUUCAGCACCGACGAAGCGCAAGUGACGGUAGGUGCAGAAGAAGGACCGGCCAACUACGUGCCAGCCGCCGCCGUAA
rnacentral:rRNA from 1 species